UUACUCGUGUUGAGUUGUAUUUUGAUUCC
rnacentral:piRNA from 1 species